CGGCAACAGCUCAAAUUUGAAAUCUGGCUUUCGGGUCCGAAUUGUAAUUUGUAGAGGAUGCUUUCGGCGCGGUGCCUUCCGAGUUCCCUGGAACGGGACGCCUUAGAGGGUGAGAGCCCCGUACGGUUGGAUACCAAGCCUCUGUAAAGCUCCUUCGAC
rnacentral:rRNA from 1 species